UUUUUAUUGUUACAGUUUUAUCACCACUUGACAUUCUUUUUUUUUUUCUGUUCUAAAUUUUUGAGCCAUUUGGUCCUGUUGAGGUUGUCCAACUGCCUCUUGACUUGGAAACAGGCCACUGCAAGGGUUUUGGGUUUGUUCAAUUUACCCAUCUUGAACAUGCCAAGGCUGCUCAGAGUUUAAAUGGAAAAUUGGAGAUUGCUGGCAGGACUAUCAAGGUCUCAUGUGUAACGGAUCAUGUUGGAAGUCAAGAUACCACCGCAAAAUCGGCAGACUUAGAUGAUGAUGAAGGUGGAUUGGUAAGUUUGUUUCGUUAUAUAAAGUAUUCAAAACUGGUUACAACUUGGCACGUUAUUAAGAAUUUUAAAUCUAAU